rnacentral:rRNA from 1 species
UACGUAGGGUGCAAGCGUUGCCCGGAAUCAUUGGGCGUAAAGCGCGCGUAGGUGGCUUCGUAAGUCCGUUGUGAAAGUCCAGGGCUCAACCCUGGGAUGCCGGUGGAUACUGUCGGGCUCGAGUCCGGAAGAGGCGAGUGGAAUUCCUGGUGUAGCGGUGAAAUGGCGCCAGAUAAUCCAGGAGGAACAGCCAAUGGCGAAGGCAGCUCGCUGGGACGUGACUGACCGCGUGAGACCGCGAAAGCUGGGGAGCAAACAGG